UGGUGGAGUGAUUUGUCUGGUUAAUUCCGAUAACGAACGAGACCUUGACCUGCUAAAUAGACGGGCUGACAUUUUGUUGGCUUACUUGUCUUCUUAGAGGGACUAUCAGACGUUUAGAUGAUGGAAGUUCGAGGCAAUAACA
rnacentral:rRNA from 1 species